rnacentral:rRNA from 1 species
GACAGAGGAUGCAAGCGUUAUCCGGAAUGAUUGGGCGUAAAGCGUCUGUAGGUGGUUUAAAAAGUCUAUUGUUAAAAAAUUGAAGCUUAACUUCAAAGAUGCAAUGGAAACUUUUAAACUUGAGUAUGGUAGGGGUAGAGGGAAUUUCCAGUGGAGCGGUGAAAUGCGUAGAUAUUGGAAAGACCACCAAUGGCGAAGGCACUCUACUGGGCCAUUACUGACACUGAGAGACGAAAGCUAGGGGAGCGAAUGGG